AUACGUAGGGGGCGAGCGUUGUCCGGAAUGAUUGGGCGUAAAGGGCGCGUAGGCGGCCCGGUAAGUCUGGAGUGAAAGUCCUGUUUUUAAGAUGGGAAUUGCUUUGGAUACUGUCGGGCUUGAGUGCAGGAGAGGUAAGUGGAAUUCCCAGUGUAGCGGUGAAUGCGUAGAGAUUGGGAGGAACACCAGUGGCGAAGGCGGCUUACUGGACUGUAACUGACGCUGAGGCGCGAAAGUGUGGGGAGCAAACAGGAUUAGAUACCCUGGUAGUCCACACUGUAAACGAUGAAUGCUAGGUGUAGGGGGUAUCGACCCCUUCUGUGCCGCAGUCAACACAAUAAGCAUUCCGCCUGGGGAGUACGGCCGCAAGGUUGAAACUCAAAGGAAUUGACGGGG
rnacentral:rRNA from 1 species